GACGUAGGGUGCGAGCGUUGUCCGGAUUUAUUGGGCGUAAAGAGCUCGUAGGUGGUUCGAUAAGUCGGGUGUGAAACCUCCAGGCUCAACCUGGAGACGCCACCCGAUACUGUCGUGACUAGAGUCCAGUAGGGGAGCGUGGAAUUCCUGGUGUAGCGGUGAAAUGCGCAGAUAUCAGGAGGAACACCAGCGGCGAAGGCGGCGCUCUGGGCUGGCACUGACACUGAGGAGCGAAAGCGUGGGGAGCGAACAGG
rnacentral:rRNA from 1 species